CUUAUACAUGCAAGUCGAGGGGCAGCAGGUCUGUAGCAAUACAGAUGCUGGCGACCGGCAAACGGGUGCGUAACACGUACGCAACCUUCCCGUUACUGGGGAAUAGCCCAGGGAAACUUGGAUUAAUACCCCAUAUUAUAUUGGUUGGGCAUCCGACUGAUAUCAAAGUUUUAACGGUAACGGAUGGGCGUGCGGUUGAUUAGGUAGUUGGCGGGGUAACGGCCCACCAAGCCUACGAUCAAUAGCUGAUGUGAGAGCAUGAUCAGCCACACGGGCACUGAGACACGGGCCCGACUCCUACGGGAGGCAGCAGUAAGGAAUAUUGGGCAAUGGACGAAAGUCUGACCCAGCCAUGCCGCGUGAAGGAAGAAGGCCCUAUGGGUCGUAAACUGCUUUUACACCGGAGAAAACCCCCCUACGUGUAGGGGGCUGAUAGUAUGGUGAGAAUAAGCAUCGGCUAACUUCGUGCCAGCAGCCGCGGUAAGACGAAGGAUGCAAGCGUUAUCCGGAUUUAUUGGGUUUAAAGGGAGCGUAGGUGGCCUUAUAAGUCAGUGGUGAAAGACUAGAGCUUAACUCUGGAAUUGCCAUUGAUACUGUAGGGCUUGAGUAUAGUUGCUGUGGGCGGAAUAUGACAUGUAGUGGUGAAAUACUUAGAGAUGUCAUAGAACACCGAUUGCGAAGGCAGCUCACAAAACUAUAACUGACACUGAGGCUCGAAAGUGCGGGGAUCAAACAGGAUUAGAUACCCUGGUAGUCCGCACUGUAAACGAUGAUUACUCGUUGCUGGGGAGCAAUUCUCAGUGACUAAGCGAAAGCGAUAAGUAAUCCACCUGGGGAGUACGCCGGCAACGGUGAAACUCAAAGGAAUUGACGGGGGCCCGCACAAGCGGAGGAGCAUGUGGUUUAAUUCGAUGAUACGCGAGGAACCUUACCAGGGCUUGAAAGUUAGUGACCGCUCCUGAAAGGGAGCUUUCCGCAAGGACACGAAACUAGGUGCUGCAUGGCUGUCGUCAGCUCGUGCCGUGAGGUGUUGGGUUAAGUCCCGCAACGAGCGCAACCCCUACCAUUAGUUGCCAGCGAGUUAUGUCGGGGACUCUAGUGGAACUGCCCGCGCAAGCGGUGAGGAAGGUGGGGAUGACGUCAAGUCAUCACGACCCUUACGUCCUGGGCUACACACGUGCUACAAUGGUCACUACAGAGGGCAGCUACAUAGUAAUAUGAUGCAAAUCUUCAAAAGUGAUCUCAGUUCGGAUUGAGGUCUGCAACUCGACCUCAUGAAGCUGGAUUCGCUAGUAAUCGCGCAUCAGCAAUGGCGCGGUGAAUACGUUCCCGGGCCUUGUACACACCGCCCGUCAAGCCAUGAAAGCUGGGAGUAUUUAAAGUCGGUGCCGCAA
rnacentral:rRNA from 1 species